CGGGCCGGCGGCGGGGCGCCGCCCACCCCGCUCGGGCCCGGGUCCGGACGGCCCGGGUCCGGUCCCUGCGGCCCGGC
rnacentral:tRNA from 1 species